rnacentral:rRNA from 1 species
GACGAACGCUGGCGGCGUGCUUAACACAUGCAAGUCGAACGGAAAGGCCCUGCUUGCAGGGUGCUCGAGUGGCGAACGGGUGAGUAACACGUGGGUGAUCUGCCCCUUACUUUGGGAUAAGCCUGGGAAACUGGGUCUAAUACUGGAUAGGACCAUGCUGUAGGUGGUGUGGUGGAAAGAUUAGUUUCGGUAAGGGAUGAGCUCGCGGCCUAUCAGCUUGUUGGUGGGGUAAUGGCCUACCAAGGCGUCGACGGGUAGCCGGCCUGAGAGGGUGGACGGCAACAUUGGGACUGAGAUACGGCCCAGAAGCCGACAAGAGGGAGCAGUGGGGGAAAGUGCACAAUGGGCGCAAGCCUGAUGCGGCGACGCCGCGUGGGUGAUGAAGGCCUUCGGGUUGUAAACUCCUUUCAGCCAUGACGAAGCCCUUGUGGUGACGGUAGUGGAAGAAGAAGCACCGGCUAACUACGUG